ACGUGAACUAGCAACUGAAACAUUUUGUUUUCCUAUGCUCAUCAGAGCACGCGCAUCUUUUGGAAUAAGUUCUUCACCUUACUCUUCAUCUUCCCAAACCCAAUUCUCUUUCUUCAUCAGAAGCACUUUCUCUUUCAAUUUCAAAAAUCAAUCUCUUCUUCAAUCUACUUUUCAUUUGUUUCUUUAAUUGGUGAUUAAUUUGCUUCAACCAUGGCCUCCUCCAUCCAUUUAUGUUUUGAAGUUAUUAAAGGUUUGACUACUUUAAAUUAGUGUUUGAAGUUAUGAAGGUUAUCAUUCCAUCAAUUUACUGAACCCAACCAUGUACAAAGGUUGUGAGUGUGAAACAAAUUAUGUUUUAUUCUUACUCUCUUCUUUUACAUAUUAUACUUUUGGUUUGUUAGUCUUUAUUCAAGACAAUUAUGCAAUAUCUUGAAGUGCUUUUGUUGUGUGCUUUGAAAUAUAUGUUUUCUGAAGGUCAAGCAAGAGGGAGUUUACUUAAUUUGUACGAAACACGACAGAUGUGACGCUGUUAAGCUCGGUUUCUAAAGGUUGGCAAAUACACUGAGCGCAUCAGUGCUGAUACCUUUCUGUUGUCCUUGAAUAUCUCGCCGUCGAGGUAAUUUUUUCUCAACGUUCUUAUUGAUAUUGUGUGUGCAAUUCCUUUGCUUAUGAGGAUUGAUAUGAAAAUAGCAAAACAAGUCUUCUAUUGAUAUGAAAAAUAAGUUUGUUGAUGCACCAAGACCACACAUUCCAUCACUGUUCAGGAUCUUCUCAGAUCGUGGAGAGCUCUCAUUUCAUUACCAUGAUAUAUGGAAGCACUGAAAGAUUGCAAGGACCUCAUAUCUCCAUCAAUAUAUGUUUUGUUGAGAUUGAGCAAGUCAUAUACACAGUGACCGUCCACUUCACCAACGGUGACGACGAAUCAAUGGCAUAGCGCAAACCAGCCGGUUCUUCCUCCGUCUAUGACUCCCACCACUUCGCCGGCAGUAAUGAAUCGAUGGCUGCCCCUUCUAUGACUUCUGGCAGCAUCGUUUCUGGCAUCAGAUUUGCGGUGCAAUUUGAGAAUAUCAGUUUAUGCAUCGCUGACAUCAUUUCCGGCUUUGAUUAGGUCUGACGUUGAACAAGAGUGAUGGCAUAUGAUAGCAACCUAUGUUUCUUAAACUUUCACCUUCAUAUUUGAUUCAGAUUUCACCUUAAUUUGUUUUCCAGGAGACAGUCCUCAAUAAUGGUCGGCAAGAGAAGAAGAAAUAAGGGCUGUAUACCAUAAGAAAAUGAUGAAUCACCAUAGGAGGUGAGAUGUAGAGAUAACUAUAAGCAGCAAGGCAAUGACAAAGGGGAGUUCUGAAAGUGUUGGAUCGGCUGUGAUGGUUGAUAUUGAUGAUUGUGAAGGAUCAAUUACCAAGCCUCCAAUAGUUGCAUGCGUCAAAGUCGAACGUGAUGACUGAUUGGGAAAUUUAGAAAUCUGAUUGAAGUUUCUUUGUUGUUUAAGUUUUUGAUGUUUGUUUUUUCAUGGUUUAUGUAUUUUGUGGUAUACUGGACAUGAUUUCAGUCAACUUGGUUUAAAUUAUUUCUAUCUUGGUGUAUCAGACCUAGACUAUUUUGCAAUGCUUUUUUAAUAAUAAUAA